rnacentral:rRNA from 1 species
AUGGUUAGUACUUUCUCAAUUUGUGGAGUGAAGGAUGAAAGUACGUUUCAUGCGCUUGUCCACUGUCCAAAGGCUUAUGCUUUGCGUAUGGCCAUGAGGGACACUUGGGAAUUACCUGCGGAGGAGGUGUUCAGGUAUAUUGGGUGUGAUUGGUUUCUUAUCCUUCUGGAUCAAUUGAGUCCUCUGAUGCGUGACAGAAUUAUCUUCAUUUUUUGGAGAGCCUGGCAUUUGAGAAAUGAUUUGAUUUUUGGUAAGGGGAAGGAAUCUGUCACAGGCUCUGCUAGUUUUGUGGAUAAUUACUGGUCGUCGUUUGUUGCUUGCAAUUCCUAUCCACUGGUGGACUCGAAGAAUAAAGGAAAAGGUACCGCUCCCGGUCUAAAAUAUGUUCCUAAUACCUUGGGAACUCAGGUGGCUUGGCAACCCCCUCCUUCGGAUUAUAUCAAGAUAAAUGUCGAUGCAAGCUUUGUGGAGAGCAUUAGUGUUGCAAGUGUGGGUGUGGUGGCUAGGGACUCCUCUGAAAAUGUCAUUGUCUCCUCUUGGGAUUUCAUUGGGUGUUGUAAAAGCGCGGAGGAAGCGGAACUUCGGGCUUGCAUUGCUGGUCUCUAUGUAGGUAUUACGCUCCACAAUCCUAUAAUUUUAGAGACUGACUGUGUGCUUGUUGCUGCUCUCUUGCAACGGAAAGUUUUGACAGGUCAGCGCUAUUUGAUUUGA